CUACGGGUGGCUGCAGUGGGGAAUAUUGCACAAUGGAGGAAACUCUGAUGCAGCAACGCCGCGUGGAGGAUGACACUUUUCGGAGCGUAAACUCCUUUUAUAUAGGAAGAAGAUGACGGUACUAUAUGAAUAAGCGCCGGCUAACUCCGUGCCAGCAGCCGCGGUAAUACGGAGGGCGCAAGCGUUACUCGGAAUCACUGGGCGUAAAGAGCGUGUAGGCGGAUUAAAAAGUCAGAAGUGAAAUCCUAUAGCUUAACUAUAGAACUGCUUCUGAAACUCUUAAUCUAGAAUAUGGGAGAGGUAGAUGGAAUUUCUGGUGUAGGGGUAAAAUCCGUAGAGAUCAGAAGGAAUACCGAUUGCGAAGGCGAUCUACUAGAACAUUAUUGACGCUGAGACGCGAAAGCGUGGGGAGCAAACAGGAUUAGAUACCCUGGUAGUC
rnacentral:rRNA from 1 species